rnacentral:tRNA from 1 species
GCCAGGGAAUAGUUUAAUUAGAACUUCAGCUUUG